rnacentral:rRNA from 1 species
UAUUCUGAAGCUUCGGGUCAGCGUGUCAACCUAAAUAAGUCUAGCAUCUUUUUCAGCAAGGGCUGCCCGAAUGACAAGAGAGUUUUGAAAAACAUUCUGAAUGUCCCUAACGAAUCACUAUCUGAGCGCUACUUGGGGCUUCCUUCUGAUGUAGGGAGGUCGAAGAAUGGAACUUUCAAAUACAUCAAGGAUAGGUUAUGGGGAAAAGUCAAAGGAUGGAUCGAGAGGUGCUUGGCCAUGGCAGGGAAAGAAAAUUUGAUAAAAUCUCUAGCGCAGGCAAUAUCAAUGUUUUCCAUGUCCUGUUUCCUCCUCCCCCGUGGUCUUUGUCAGGAGAUUGACAAGAUGUUAAGGAAGUUUUUCUGGGGUAGAAAAAAUGGAGAAAGGAAGGUGUCCUGGAUUUCUUGGGAAAAGCUUACAAUGCCAAAGUAUCAGUGUCGGUGUCAAAACCGGCGGAUCUCGGGUAGGGGGUCCCGAACUGUGCGUCUAGGAUCGAUGGUAACAGGAGACGGGGGACACGAUGUUUACCCAGGUUCGGGCCCUCUCUAUGGAGGUAAUACCCUACUUCCUGCUUGA